rnacentral:rRNA from 1 species
GAUGAACGCUGGCGGCGUGCCUAAUACAUGCAAGUCGAGCGAACGGACGAGAAGCUUGCUUCUCUGAUGUUAGCGGCGGACGGGUGAGUAACACGUGGAUAACCCACCUAUAAGACUGGGAUAACUUCGGGAAACCGGAGCUAAUACCGGAUAAUAUUUUGAACCGCAUGGUUCAAAAGUGAAAGACGGUCUUGCUGUCACUUAUAGAUGGAUCCGCGCUGCAUUAGCUAGUUGGUAAGGUAACGGCUUACCAAGGCAACGAUGCAUAGCCGACCUGAGAGGGUGAUCGGCCACACUGGAACUGAGACACGGUCCAGACUCCUACGGGAGGCAGCAGUAGGGAAUCUUCCGCAAUGGGCGAAAGCCUGACGGAGCAACGCCGCGUGAGUGAUGAAGGUCUUCGGAUCGUAAAACUCUGUUAUUAGGGAAGAACAUAUUUGUAAGUAACUGUGCACAUCUUGACGGUACCUAAUCAGAAAGCCACGGCUAACUACGUG